AUGCACUUUAUGGCCAUAUAUGCAAACUUAGCAUCGGGAAGUUGGACCGAACCAUUUUCAAUUGAUUCAUCCAUUUGUAAUUUGAAGUUCACUAAAUCAUCUUUCAUAGAAACACCUUUUCAUAUGCGCCCAUGUUUGUAUCGAUGGAAGAGAAAAAUACCACAUAAAUGUUGUUCUUGUCAAAGGUCUGGAAGAUUCAAGCUGAAAUCAAGAAGAAUAUUGACUUUCUAA